ACACACACACACACACACACACACACACACAGAAUAACAAUGUGUAAGAGUAAUGAUUUAUCUCUGGUGGAGUGCUUGCCACACAGCAUGCAGGAUGUCCUGGAAUCAGUACCUGGACCACAGCAAACAAAACAAGAGUGGGUCCACAGCACACAUGUUUCUUUGCCCUUUGCUCUUUUUUGUUUUGCUGUCUGGAGUUCACCUGGUGUAGACGGAUUUUCAGAGUCACAUUAUAGACAUGAGGACCAGAGCUAGACCUGGAGGGAAAUAAGCCAGGCUGAGGCCGGAAAGGCGCUGGCUCCCAAUGGCUUAGCAGGGCUGCCCAAAAGAGCCUUGAGUAAAUUAUUUCUAGAUUUCUUCUGUAAGGAAAUAGAGUUAAAAAUCUCCAUUAUGCACUUCUUUCCAGACUUCCGUUGGCAAAUUUCAUUCAUGAUCAAUGGAAAAUGUGUUUCUUUAUCCCAUACAAAGUUUAUGUAGAGAAGAUGACAGGACAUAAACAAUCAUGGGUUCAUUUAUGGCUGUUGUCUGGCUGCACUAAGAACUCAUACAUUCCCAGGAGGCAGGAGCCUCUGCAGAGGAAUGAUUCUUUCACCAUGGGCUGGAUUAAGGGACUGCCCAUCUCUGCCCACGCUCUUAGAACUCAGAGAAACAGGGCAGCAGACCUGCAGGGGAGAGGUCUUCCAUACGCUUUCUGUGAAUUUCCACUUCAUUGCCCAGACACCUGCACUGCCAUAAGGGGUCUGGUGGUGAGGUCAGAGAACACUCUCAGCAGCAUGUCGGAAGCGGCCCCCAUAAAUUGCUACUCACUGCGCAUGUGUCUGCUAGUGGCUAGUGUUCAGGCUCUAGGGUAGAGGGCAAGGGCAUUUUGUGGGAGUGUUGGCAGAUCCAUUGGCAUACAGGCGACUGUCCUUACUCAGAGGCUAGUCUUGCGCGCUGGUCCCACUGUCUUCCUGGCCCAGGACAGAAAGUAAGUCUUCCAGUCUCCAGGCCUCUGAGUAGUGGACUCCUACGUCACUGCAAGGUCUCGUGUGGUGGGGAGUUCACUGUGAUGAUCACAGCUCUACAGACGGGCAAGGAUGUCACUCUUGGACACCAUGCUACACCUACAUGCUGCCCUGAUGGCUGAGGAAUCUGCUAUGAACUGCUGUGUGGGUACCUUCCCCUUUCAGUCCUUAGUCCAGUCUCCUCAUUGCUACAGUGAAAACAAACAUAUGGGCUUAAAAUUACAUCAGCGUUAACAUUAAAACAGUAAGGUUGGGGACACGGAGAAAGGUAAUGGGGAGAACUUUGAACUUAGAGUGGGAUAGCCAAGAUGACUAGAUAGCAGAGCUCUGGGAAAAACAAUAAACUGCUCUCCACAAAUUCUGUUAGGGUCUCAGAAAGCUCCAAGGGGCAUGCGCAAGGUACUCUUUCCUUUAGUAAACAUGUCAACUCCUCAAGUGGUUACACUUUGAUACAAAUGCUUACAUCUAAUGUAUUCAGUAGUAGCAGAUUAAUUGUGGGUAAAGAAGGCUUGCGAAAAAGCCUCUGCCUAUUCCAGGAAGGCGAUGAGCCGCAGGGUGGGCAAAGGAUGGUAGACUAAGUCCUUGAAGAACAGAUGCCAGAGGCAGGCUGGGUUGGCCCUCCACUCUCGAGGUACCCUCUGCACUUGCAUUCCCACCUGCUAUAAGAAACCCUGACCAUUUUCUUGCUCUACCUGUGCCUGGUAUGAAUUCUUCUCUGCCAGGAAUGAGAGAACAGAGGUGCUGCCACAGUCAGGAUCAGAGGGGAUGUGGAAGGAGACAUCUCCUUAUCUACAAUGUUGUGGUUGCAGGGGUAAGCUCUCUGAGACCACAACCUGCUCAGCAAACUCACUGCUGUUCUCGGAACCCUGGCCCGAGGGCCCUACCGGAUUCUGGUAUCCUGCAACGUAUACAAGAAAGCACUUUUAUUCUCUUAUCGUAUAUGAUAAAUGAGUACUUCGCAAGUGAGAGGUGGCAACACUCAUUUACUGAGAGCCAGCUUUGCCAAGAGGAGGAUCUGCCCAUGCACAGCAAUGACCUUUCAUGAUCUCUUGGACCAGACACUCAGCUCACAAAGAGAACAUGUGGCCCAUCUGGUCUUUGUGAGCAGACGGAUGUGGGUCCUGGCUGGUGAUAACCCUGUCAUAUGUACUGACUGUGGUGAGGUGGAGACAUCGCAUAGCAGGGGCUUGCAUGGGAAACUUCUUAGCAGACAAAGACAGCUACAGGGACAACCAUCUAAGUACUCCACAAAGAGACAGGCAGUGCAGGUCUCCUCUCUGGCUUGUCACAUGUCACUUGAGACCACUGCUAGUCAAGAGCUAUAACACGCGUAUGUACUAAUUCUAAGAUUCCUCACUACAACCCAGAGAUGUGGGUCUAAUAGAGUCUUCAUCUUCCACUGCUGGAAACUGAGGCUUGGAGAAGGUGGGUAAGCCAAGGCUGGUCAGGGUCUGAGCUUUGUGUCACCUCUUAUGCCAACCAUACACAACUCUCUACUCGGGUUUAGCCUUGCCUAACCUAUGACUUCUAGGUUAUGUACAUCUGAGGAUAGCUAUGAACAUGAGUGAUGUUGCGUUGUCAAAGGUUGGACCUAUCUGGUUUAUGACAACCUCCUGGAUAGGGUGUUAUAGAGACCCAACAGGUCCCAUGGUGUAGGUGAAAUUUGUUCACCUGGAUACCCUGAAUGUGUCUCAAGCUGUUGGUUGAAAGUAUCUAUAACAGGAAACCACAGUCACAUGUCAGACUUUGGGACAAGGCUAACUUCCUGCGUUAUUCCAGACUACAGGAGGC